rnacentral:lncRNA from 1 species
GUUAGAAUUAGUGACAGGGAUGUUCCAACCAUGGUUCAGUACAGCCUGGAAGUUUUCAUGUUCUAGCCAGUAAUUUUCGAAUCUAAAUAACUGUGGUCUUGGAAUACUUGUGGUGGCAGAUAUGAGACAUGAGGUGUGAUCAGUUAUAUCCCUAGAGAGAGUAGAGACCACAAUAUUAGGUAUGAUGGUAGUCCAAGCAUUUGAGGUGAAGAACCAAUCUAACAUUUCUAGGAGGGGAGUUGACUACUUGUUUGUCCAAGUAUAUUUGCAUCCUUUUAGAGGUAGUUCCACUUAGCAGCUUCAUUGAAAGCAAACAUUUCCUGUAAAUUCCCUCCCGGAUUGUUUCUAUUUUCAGGUGAUCUGAUCAGGUUGAAAUCCCCAACAAUUAACCAUUUUAUAUCUUCCGCCAUUUCUAUCUCUUUAAACCAAUUCAGGAAUUCUACUUUUCCUUCAGGGGUGCAAGGUGCAUAUAUGUUGGUUAGGAUCCAGAUUUCACUUGAGAGCUUGCACUAAAAUUCAACAGAUUGUGCAAAAGCAUUCUGGAAGAUUAUAUUGCCACAGAACUUUGAACCCUUCCAUACAAUGAGGCUUCCACCAGAGGCACCAGCGGAGGGCAGGAAUUCAGAAUUAUCUAGUUGAGGAGGACAAAAAUGUUUAAGGUAUUGC